AAGAGAAUCCCAUGUGUUUGUAAAUCAAUUUGGUGGCUUAAAAUGAUUGAAACCCCACAUUUUGAAAUCCUCAAGAAAAAAAAGUGCAAAGGUGGGGGGAAGUUUGGAUUUGAUGAACAAGUAUAUAGGCCUUGUAGAAGUGCAUUCUUUUGGUCCACUUGAAUUCAGAACUAUGAAGUCAUCAUAAUACCCAAUGAAGAGUGAAGAAUAUCAAAGGCAUGCAGUUCCAUGAUCAAGAAUUGUUCCUCCGGUGUGAUAUUGCCUCUCCGAACGUCCGGUCGAAGAUAGUUUAACCAUCGGAGCCGGCAACUCUUCCCGGUACGUUUCAACCCUAGAAGAAGUUUUAUCAUUAGGGUUACCAUAUAUCAAUAUCAAAGCAUUACUACUAUAUAUUGAAUGAAAAUUUUAAAAUAAAAAAAAAUCUCUUUCAUAGAUUACUUAAUUAUAUGAUCAAAAAAUAUUGUUUAUUCAUAAUUUUUUUGAAAACUCAAAAUAUAUGUAUAGAAUGAGGAAUUACCUGCA